GCGGCGUGCUUAACACAUGCAAGUCGAACGGUGAAGCAGAGCUUGCUCUGUGGAUCAGUGGCGAACGGGUGAGUAACACGUGAGCAAUCUGCCCCUGACUCUGGGAUAAGCGCUGGAAACGGCGUCUAAUACCGGAUACGAGCUGCGAUCGCAUGGUCAGUAGCUGGAAAGAAUUUCGGUCAGGGAUGAGCUCGCGGCCUAUCAGCUUGUUGGUGAGGUAAUGGCUCACCAAGGCGUCGACGGGUAGCCGGCCUGAGAGGGUGACCGGCCACACUGGGACUGAGACACGGCCCAGACUCCUACGGGAGGCAGCAGUGGGGAAUAUUGCACAAUGGGCGGAAGCCUGAUGCAGCAACGCCGCGUGAGGGAUGACGGCCUUCGGGUUGUAAACCUCUUUUAGCAGGGAAGAAGCGAAAGUGACGGUACCUGCAGAAAAAGCGCCGGCUAACUACGUGCCAGCAGCCGCGGUAAUACGUAGGGCGCAAGCGUUAUCCGGAAUUAUUGGGCGUAAAGAGCUCGUAGGCGGUCUGUCGCGUCUGCUGUGAAAACCCGAGGCUCAACCUCGGGCCUGCAGUGGGUACGGGCAGACUAGAGUGCGGUAGGGGAGAUUGGAAUUCCUGGUGUAGCGGUGGAAUGCGCAGAUAUCAGGAGGAACACCGAUGGCGAAGGCAGAUCUCUGGGCCGUAACUGACGCUGAGGAGCGAAAGGGUGGGGAGCAAACAGGCUUAGAUACCCUGGUAGUCCACCCCGUAAACGUUGGGGACUAGUUGUGGGGUCCAUUCCACGGAUUCCGUGACGCAGCUAACGCAUUAAGUUCCCCGCCUGGGGAGUACGGCCGCAAGGCUAAAACUCAAAGGAAUUGACGGGGACCCGC
rnacentral:rRNA from 1 species